GACAGAGGGAUGCAAGCGUUAUCCGGAAUGAUUGGGCGUAAAGCGUCUGUAGGUGGCUUUUUAAGUCCGCCGUUCAAAUCCCAGGGCUCAACCCUCGGACAGGCGGUGGAAACUACCAAGCUGGAGUACGGUAGGGGCAGAGGGAAUUUCCGGUGGAGCGGUGGAAAUGCGUAGAGAUCGGAAAGAACACCAACGGCGAAAGCACUCUCGCUGGGCCGACACUGACACUGAGAGACGAAAGCUAGGGGAGCGAAUGGG
rnacentral:rRNA from 1 species